rnacentral:rRNA from 1 species
GACGAACGCUGGCGGCGUGCUUAACACAUGCAAGUCGAACGGAAAGGCCCUGCUUUUGUGGGGUGCUCGAGUGGCGAACGGGUGAGUAACACGUGAGUAACCUGCCCUUGACUUUGGGAUAACUUCAGGAAACUGGGGCUAAUACCGGAUAGGAGCUCCUGCUGCAUGGUGGGGGUUGGAAAGUUUCGGCGGUUGGGGAUGGACUCGCGGCUUAUCAGCUUGUUGGUGGGGUAGUGGCUUACCAAGGCUUUGACGGGUAGCCGGCCUGAGAGGGUGACCGGCGACGGUGGGGUGGGAAUGGGGCAGACACUCUGGAGGGGGGAAGCGGGGGGGAGUGUGGCGCGGGGGGGGGAAGCGGGCGGGAGCGGCGGGGCGUGGGGGAGGGCGGGUGGCGGGUGGGACACCGCUGUCGCGUGGGACGAGGGGGGAGGGAGGGUAGGGGGUAAAGAAGCCCCGGAAAACGGCGUGACAGCGGCGGGGGAAAUAGAUCGAGGAGAACACUUAUAACC